UACGUAGGGGGCGAGCGUUGUCCGGAUUCAUUGGGCGUAAAGAGCUCGUAGGCGGCUUGGCAAGUCGGGUGUGAAACCUCCAGGCUCAACCUGGAGACGCCACCCGAUACUGCUAUGGCUAGAGUCCGGUAGGGGACCACGGAAUUCCUGGUGUAGCGGUGAAAUGCGCAGAUAUCAGGAGGAACACCGGUGGCGAAGGCGGAUCUCUGGGCCUGUUCUGACGCUGAGGCGCGAAAGCUAGGGGAGCGAACAGG
rnacentral:rRNA from 1 species